UUCUCAACAACCGCCGCACGCAAUCUCCCCUCGUCCUCCUCGCUCUCGCCGCACCGCUCCACUCAUCUGCUCUCCCCCAUUUCUGUGUGAGAACGGCGGCUGAUUGAUUUGCGGUAGCGCCGGCGGCCUCAAGUAGGGCUAUGAGGAGGAAGGAAGACGAUUAGCACGCGGGAAGCAAGAAUAGAUCGGGGCCAGGGCGUGAGGACCACACCGUCAUCACGGCGAGCAAGCCGGCAACCCGUUCGUGUUUCUGAAGCGGUUCGGCAUCAUGGUGGCGCAGACGAAGGCCUUCUUCGAUUCCAGGCCGGCCGCAGCCACGACGUCGACGACAUCCAGAUCAAGCCCGUCAGCUCCGGCAUUUGGAUCGACCGCUGCUCCGGUGCUCUGGCGGAGCACCGACAUCACCGUAUCCAAGUUAUGGCUCAUGUUGCUGUGUAUUUGGCUGCUGGUCAUCGCCACUACCUCAGCAAAGUCACUGGCGACCAAGUGGUUCACACUAUCUCCAAAGCUUUUGAAGCAGCGUACAUGUUACAUGAAUCUGGGGCAAAAUGGUAGAUGGCGACAUGAGGUUGUAUGCCUGCAGCGCAUGUGUCAGUUAGUGAUGGUUAAUCAAGAUUGAGCAAAGGCUAGGUUCAGGUGUCGCUGUCGUGAUCUGCUUGGCAUUACUCUGGUAUAAGUUACGCAGUGGUAACCUUCCUUCUUUUGAUGGUUGUCGACACACAUCUUCAGUCACACAUACACCAUACGAGGUUUUAAAGGAGUUCUUGAUUUUCAGUUUUGGCCCUGAACUUUAGAAUCUCCAUGUCUGAAGUUAGUCCUCAUCCAACUGAGCAAUAUGCAGAGCCUCUGGUACGUGCAGCCGCGCUUCGUCGCCGCCAACGGCCUCGCCGGAAACUGGGUCGUAUCCACAUCCGGACUCAAUCUCUGCCUCGCCCUCCUUGCCGGUUUCCUUCCAAAUACUGAUAUGUAUUCAGUCUUGCUAUGUGAUGCGUUGGGAGAAUAUGAUGCGGGGAGGGGACACAACACUCCACUUCAAUUCCUGUUGUUCACAUCACGUUGUCGCCGCGCUUCGGCUGGUUCUAUUGUGCAUGCUUCUUGCUAUUUGGAAUGCAUCAUUCUUAAUUUUUUCACGUUAGCUCUUUUUUCAAACUAAUAACAUUAUUACAAGGUUAUCAACUCUUUCUUGGUGAGGAACGUUGUUGCGCAAGACAGGAGAAAGCUUGAGAGCCUGCUGCCCAAUCUCGCCAAGGCGAUCAGAUGUAGGCUUGCUUGCCACUGCUUUGCUGGUUGCUGCACUUCCAAGGGCUCAGACGCUCAGUGAGCACCUCCUCGCUGACGACCUAUUCGUCGCCAAGCUCAUCUUGGAGUGCUUCGUCGGGUCAUCACUAAUGUCUUCUCUAUUUUGAGAAGCUGCAGUUUCACCGCCUCUAGACAGGCCAUGGCGACCGCCACUGCCACUUAUAUAUAUACACAUAUAUACACUCAAUGUAGUGUGUGCUGCUUAAGCCUGUCGGAGCCGUUAACUCUGCCUUACCCUGUGAGGAACUCUGCCUCUGCAUUUGGAUAGUAUGUGCGACAUGUAUGCCUUGAUCAAAACUGCGUCCCUUUCCUUUUGAACUAGCAUAUGUGCUACACAGCUGAUUGUUACUUCUCCAAAUUUAAGCCGCUUUCAGCUCCAAGGAGGAUUACUACUCUAA